CAGAGUCUUCACCAUCUUCUUUCUUUGUCCAAUUUUGUGUAGGUGCCUCACCUGGGUCAUAGCCAGUGGAAAAAGGAAAGCUUAUGAUAUCUCUUGGUCUGGUAUUAAGAGGCCAGGCUGGAAAAGGAAGGCACCAUUUCCAUCAUAUUCUUCUGGAGAGAACUUAGUCUCAUCUUCUUCACAGAAGAUGGGGAAAGGUGGCCCAGCUGGUCAGCCCUGUGCCUGGCUGCAUUUCUGUUACUAUGGAAGGAGGGAAAAAGGAAAGCCAGCAGUGCAUGUCACGCUUACAUAAGCUCCCUCCAUCAGGAAACUUAAGACCAACUCCAUUUGAUCUGAUCAGAGGACGUCUAUAAGGACCAACACAGUGUCACAUUCAAAAGCAUCUUUCUCCCCCUCCAAUCAACCAGUGUCCUGGGGCCUUCUUACCUCUGGAAUAGAAUCCAUGAAACUGAAAAUGGUUAGACAAAUGGAGCCCCAAAUGAUCACCACUAGCACCUACCAUCGAGGACCCCUAGACUGACCCGCCAACCCAUUCUUGCACUACGACACUGAAGACUCCCCUCCCGAGGAAACCUCAACUGCGGAGCCCCUUCUACCCCGCAGUUCAGCAGGAAGUAGCAAGAACGAUCGUCGCCCAACUUCCAAACAGCACUUGGGCUUUCCUGUUGAGAGGGGACUGAGGGACUAAGUGGCUAAGUUGGCUGGACUCCUUGGGUCAAUAGGGACUUCCCUAAGGGGACGUUACCUAAGCCAAAAUAAAUCAUAGCUGCAAGAGCCAAAAUAAAUCAUAGCUGCAAGCAAAGGAAUUAAAACUUCAACCAAUCAAAGGGGACUUUCCCCUAAGCCAAAAUGAGUCAAAGCUGCAAGAUAAGGGAUUGAAAUUUCAACCAAUUAUAUAGGGAGUUUAAGCUCUAACUGCAGCCUGAUGUUUUAAACCAAUCAGGCCUGCCAACCCACAGGUGGAUAGAAAAUAAGCUAAUUCUAUAGGACAAAAAGAGGAAAGGGGAGGGGUCAUAAGGGGAUAUAAGCAUAAGACAGCCAAGCCACAAACAGCAUCCCUUCUGGGUCCCCUUCCACCGCGUGGAAGCUUUACUUUCACUUUCGCUUUAAUAAAUCUUGCCACUGCACCAAAAAAUAAAAAAUAAAAAAAUAAAAAUAAAGUAAGAUGGUGAAAUAAUGAAAAUUCACAAAACCAAGGCAGAAAGAGUUGUAAGAAAAUAAGAAAAACUGUUUGCUAUAAAUAUGGCUGCAUAUCGGAAGUUUAAUAUCUAAAGUAUAUUGCUUUUAUUCAAACCAGGCUGCCAGUGGGACCAAGACACACACAGACAGUUCAUACACCAGGAAAACCAACAUAAAACCAACAGGCGAAACACUAAACCUUGGAAGUUAAUUAAAGAAAUUCAAAUGGAAACAAUUCUAAGGGGCCAUUUAACACAUACCAGAUAAACAAGUAUAAGAAUAAAUGAUAAAAUCCAGUACUAGUGAGACUGUUGUGAAAUGGUUGCUGGUAAAAGUGUAAAUUGGUUGUUUUUUGGAGUGAAGAGCCACAAGAAUAAUCAUACCAGAAAAUAUAGCCUAUAUGGGCAAUUCAUAAAAAGAACAAAACACAAUUAUAAAAAUAUUUAUAGCUGAAUUAUUUAUAAUAGCUAAAAGUGAAAUUACCAAAAUACUCAAUAUUAGAGAAAUAAUAAAACAAAUAAUGUGAUAUAAACCUAAUAUUCAUUCAUUAGAAAUGAAAACAUGAAGAUUCUGCAAGCAAAGGGAAAUGUGAACUGCAUGGAAGUGUUAGGGGCAAAAGUACUGGAUCUGGAGUCAAAAGAUCUAAAAUUAAGUAACCUUUGGCUAAGAAUUCAACCUCUCUGAACUUUGUUCAUCUUCUAACACAGCAGUUUUCCACCAAUACACAGCAGUUUUCAAAUGUUUUGGCCACUACCUAAAAAUGUUUAAUUUUUUCUUCUUUUGUCAUAAGAGCACUUAACGUAAAAUCUAUCCUCUUAGCAAAUUUUCAGUAUUGUCAGCAUUGGCAAUCAUAUGUCCUAUGUUGGGUAGGAAUGUCCAGAACUUAUUUAUCUUGCAUGACUGAAACUUUGUACCCUUUGACCAACCCUUUUUCUCCACCCCCCCAGUUCCUGGCAACCAUCAUUCUUUCUGCUCCUAUGAGUUUGCCUAUUUUAGAUUCUACAUGUAAGUGAGAUCAGUCAUACCUCAAUAAAGUGGUUGAAAAAAAGGAAAUUUUACAUUGAUUCCUUAUAAACACAAACACAUACACACACACACACACACACGUAAUCACCGGUAAUAAUGGUAGGCCUGGUGCAGUGGCUCACGCCUGUAAUCCCAG
rnacentral:lncRNA from 10 species